GCAGAAAGGCCCAACUCUCUCACAGUCAGCCCCCCCCCAAAAAACCCCUCCCAGCUGUCUUUCUCAUAGACUAUAAAAAGAGGAUCUCCCAGCUCUGGCUGCUUUCUGGAGAUCCCCCUGGCAGAGGCUGACUUUUGAAGGACAGGUCGCAAGAGAGGAUCACACGACCCCGGGACGCACUACAACCGUCGUAAAUAUGAGACAGUUGCCAAAUGCCUGAAUUUUGAUCACGUGACCACAGAGAUGGUGCAACGGUCGUAAGUCUCUCCAAUUGGUGUACAGGUGGUCCUCGACUUACGACCACAACCGAGGCCAAAAUCUGUGUUGCCAAAGAAAGACAAUUAAUUCAGGUUCAUCCAGGGGAAGCCCCAGAGGAGAUGGACAGGAACUUUUUUCGAUAGGCCACCCAAAACCAGGCCCGGAAACGAGAAGUGUCAACUUUUCAGCUAUCCGGAUUUGGUGGAAACUGUAAGGAAACAAAAAAAAUAAUAAUAAAUCUUACAGAGAAUAAUAAAAUGCACCACAUAAUGGAAAAGUCUACCUGGGGAAGGAGGUGGGGGAAGCGGUUGAGGAUUUUUGCUCUCGAGCGGUUUUGUGAAAAGGGUGGAAUAGGCUUUCUUGCACAUCAGAGAGGGUUGGGCUAGAUGACUGCUGGGUGUCCCUUUCCAAUACCCCACUUCUAGGAUUCUGAUGCCACUCUAUGCCUUUUCAAUCAGGAUGACAUUGUAAGAAGAAUGCAGAAGCUUUCAUUCCAGAAAAGUGUGGAGGGGAGAGAGGCGACUUUCGGUCCCCUUCCAGACAAACGUCACUGCUUUUUCAGACAAAAACACCCAACAAUUCUUCCU